rnacentral:rRNA from 1 species
UACGGGGGGGGCAAGCGUUGUCCGGAAUUAUUGGGCGUAAAGAGCGCGUAGGCGGUCCGAUAAGUCGGCUGUGAAAGUCAAGGGCUCAACCCUUGAAAGCCGGCCGAUACUGUCGGACUAGAGUCCGGAAGAGGCGAGUGGAAUUCCCGGUGUAGCGGUGAAAUGCGCAGAUAUCGGGAGGAACACCAAUGGCGAAGGCAGCUCGCUGGGACGGUACUGACGCUGAGGCGCGAAAGCCAGGGGAGCAAACGGG